AUUGAACGCUGGCGGCAGGCCUAACACAUGCAAGUCGAGCGAGAGGAGGACGGGUGAGUAAUGUAUGGGGACUGCCCGAUAGAGGGGGCUAACUACUGUAAACGGUGGCUAAUGCCGCAUACUAUCGGAUAACCCAUAGUGGAUUCGCUAGUCGGUGGGGUAAAGGCUCACCUAGGCGAAGCUCUCUAGCUGGUCUGAGAGGAUGAUCGGCCACACUGGGACGGAGACACGGCCCAGACUCCUACGGAGGCAGCAGUGGGGAAUAGUGCACAAUGGUCGCAAGUCUGACGGAGCCAUGCCGCGUGUAUGAAGAAGGCCUUAGGGUUGUAAAGUACUUUCAUCGAGGAGGCGUUAUUUGCAGAGGAAGCACCGGCUAACUCCGUGCCAGCAGCCGCGGUAAUAC
rnacentral:rRNA from 1 species